rnacentral:lncRNA from 1 species
CGUGUUGCUGCUCUAUCUUAGGAUGCUAGCUCACCUCUCGAACCUGUUUCCUCAACGGAAAGAAAUGGGAGGAAAAUGCCUGUUUUACUUAGGGAUUUUUGAAUCUGGAAUGGGAGAACAGCCGUGGGUAUCUUCACGGCUUCAGAAUCAACUAGACAUCAGUCAGUUCAUUGCGUCUCACUCUCUUCUUCAUCGACGGGCCUUGUGAAUUAUUGGUAAAAUAGAUACAGCUUUCAGGGGCUGGGCCAUGGAGGACCCCAAGACCCUCUCCCGGUCUCUGGAUUAUGGACUUACGAGCCUGACAAAGCAGUGGAGCAGAUACAGCGCCGUCAGGUGGUGGAACUGAAUGCGUGGCUGCUAAGGUGGAGACACUGAGACACAGAGUGGAUAAAUAACGCGCCUGCGUUCACACAGCUCGUCACAGCUGGAGCUGGGAUACGGGUUCAGGCAGUCUUGCUCUAGAGCUGUGGCUCGCAGCACAGUGCUCUUUGGGUUCAAUGAAACAAAACACGUUAAAAUACUGAGCGCAUGAUGACAACUGUGCAGAGACCCUGAAGUGCCUACCUAACAGUCGCUCAACUUCUCUUCCUUAGAACAACUUCUCAUCUCAUAUGGGGAUUUAAAGUGCCCAAUUAAAAGACCACGUUUGCCAGCCACUGAGAAUAAAGAAAUGUCAGUGGAAACUGUGAGGUGGGAAGUCCUGGAAAACCUCGUGGGGGAGGGGCAGACAGGGGGCAUGUGUCAUUUAUGCAGGUCACGCCUUCCUUUCUGCUUCCUUCCUGGAUAAAUUGUUGGACCUCCAGCUGUCGCCUGGCCCCACAAAGAAGCCAUGAGGAUGUAAGCCACCUGCUGUGGCUGGGAAACAGAGAGGCAGGACGCGGGACCUCGACGACAAAUAGAGCUGCCACCCUACUGCAGGUGCUUUACCUGGAUGAUCUUUGUUAAAUGCACAGAAAUGAAUUUCUACCUUCUUGAGGCUACUUGUUUCUGGUCUCUCACCAGCAGCUGACAUCAGGAGCUGAUUAAGAACUCAAUCCAUUUUUUAAAAUUUUAGAUCAAUAGAAAGAGAUUUGUUUCCAUGUACUCAGGGCUAACCACUGUGAGGAGGGUGGGCGAGAACUCCCACGGAAUAUUAUACAUGGUUCUGCUGCUCAAGGAGUUUCCGCUUUGCUGUGGAGCAAUCAAGAUGAACUCUGGCACAGCAGGGGGCUUCAAGAUCUGCUCCAACACUCUGGAGAUGCUCUUUCUGAUGGGCUCGACCAAGAUGGCACAAAAGGAAGAGGAAGCCAGCAGAUGGGGAGGUCAGAACAGGAAGACUGCAAUACUCUGAAACGAGUAUGACUAUUUAACAAGGAUUAAGACGUAAACAUCAGGUCAUGAUUUCUCUUUAGGGGAAGAUAUAACAUCUUCUUUCAUAACGACACAUUUUCUUCUUCUGGUAGUAGUAUGUUCUGGCUCUCUUCCCUUUAAUGCCCACAAAAAUUUUGCACAGAAAGCAGUAGAGAGAUAUAAGUGAUAUUUUUAUCUGUUUUUGUUUCGAAUCUAUAAUUAAGAACUACUUUAUGCUAGAGAAACAUCAGAUAUAAAUGAAAUAAAUACCUAAGUUUCAUAUUCUUUUAUCAAAUAUCGAAGGACCGUGGAGGAAAUUCAUGUUCUAGGGAAUCAGGAAUUAAUCUGCAUUAUCCUGAAUAUAAUAAGUGGAAUUAUAGGGCAAAAUUAAUAUAAAGUAAAUAGAUAAAUAUUUUUGAAACCAUUAACAUCUGUGGUUUAGCAAUAGCAUUUGACAAUGUUUAAAUAGCUAACAAAGAAGGAGUUUAAUUUGCCUAAAAAAUACUAUUUAACCAAAAUGAUUAAUGCGAUUUCUGGUUUCUGGGCAAUUUUCAAAUGUAAUGUCAGAAAAGAAGAUAAGAUUAUUAGAUAGUAAGAAACUGAUUUCCCCAAAUUCAUAAAAACUUUGUAAGGUCAGAUUCAUAUUAUUAUAGACUCUCAAACAGUACAAAUUUCUAUCAGGUGUAGGCUAUUACUUCAAUUCUAUGAAUUGAGGCAAAAUUUGCUGCUUUCCUAGAGAAAGAGAUACAGUAUUUGUAUUUUCAGUAACAAGUCACAGUAACCAAAAUCUUAUGUUUCUAUGGAAGCAGAAACUUUCAAUUGAUAGGUACUGAAAAAUAAAAACUGCAUGAUUGUGUUAUAGCCAAGAUAAUUAAUAUCUGCAGCGAAGCUGCACACUGGUUGUCAAUCCUUUAUUCAUAAAACUUUUAUUGAUUAGGCAUCAGGUCAAUGUACGGGGCUGUAUAUUUGGGGAAUAUAAAGAUCGAGAAGACACCCUAUUUGUGUACCCACAGAAUUAUAAUAUGAGGCUGAAAUUGGAAGGGACCUGAUUAAUGCAUUUGGAAGUGUGCAAAUGGAGACAAUAUUAAAAUUCUGUUAAACUUCGGUGAAAUCGGCAAUGUGGGGAAGCUUAGCGGUGUGCUUGGAAGAGGACUUACCCGUGGUCUGUGAUGCCGCUGUUGCAUCAAAUCAUGAUCCUUUUACUAUCAGCACAAUUUAGGGGAGACACAGCUAGAAAACAUCAUGGUUAAUACACACAUUUUAUUUUCUAACUAAUAAAAACAUGAUUUUUUUCAUAUUAUCUUAUACAUUUCCUUGUUUAGCAUCACCAAGUUUAAGUUUUCUCCACAUUUAAAGUACAAAGAUUCUUUUAACUUGCUUUUGGGCCUUGGCAAAUACACGUAUUUAAUAUCAGAGGUCCAAAUUACUUUUCAUAACAUGAUUUCAACCACUUUAGCAUCAUUAAGAUUGUUUAUAUAGUUUCAAAGCACAGCAAAGAAUACCAGGGUAUUGUUUACAUUUCUUAUGUAGCUGAAUACAUAGAUUUGUUUUUCCUUUAAUUGAUGUUAGCUUUGUUGGAAGUUAAACAACUUUUCUGGAGAGUCAGCCAAAAGCUUUUGACAGAUACAUUUUAAUGACUUAAAAUGAAAUCGGUCAGAUCAACCUCCAUGUUUCAAAAAUUCUCUGAUCUGUUCUGAGACAAUUGUCAGUUUUAACGUCUUUAGAUUUCUCAAUGUCAAACAAAAUUCAUCUUUGUCUACUUUUAGGUUUAUUUUUCUUGGGUUGGUUCUGUAAUGCAAUUGACUAUUGCUUUACAAGAAGAUAUCCAAAUAUUGUAAUUUCUCCAGUGAUGAAUAUUUACUUCACUUAUAGUCAAUAUAUAUCUCAUAGUUCUAGGUCAAUCUUAUCCACUUAUACAAACUCUUUUUGUUUCGAAGAUGCCAGAUGUGGGUAAAUGGAUAUCAGAAAAAUAAAACAAGAAAGAGGAAAACUUGUUGCUUCCCAUUGUGUGUUUAUACAAAAUCCACUAUACACACACGUAUUUUUAAGGAAUAUGUGGCUCAGCCUACACAAACACAGGAUUUUGUAGAGUUCACAGCAUCACCAAGUUGCUGAAGAAACAGAUUAGGCUGAAGCUUCCAGGACAUUUCCUGAACUACUCUGCACAACCAGCCCAGACAGCAGCCACCACCAACUGAUGAAGAUCAAGGCUGCCCCUGCCCCAGGGAGAGAAGUCCAAGGAAGAGCACUACUAUCAGACCUUGAGAGUCCAAGAAAUCUUUCUUUCGAUUCCUCAACUCACCGAGCCUGCAUCAUUUCUUCUGGUGGCCCGUAUGGGGAUCUUGCUUCAUUGGCGUGUGAGCUUAAGUUCUGGUAAGUGCCCUUUUCUUCCUUGUGCCUUCCUCUUUUUCAAGGAUGGAUCUAAAUUCA